rnacentral:sRNA from 1 species
AAGCGGCUAACUAUGGCGACCGCCACGGAGCAGUGGGUUCUGGUGGAGAUGGUACAGGCGCUUUACGAGCUCCGGAAAGGAACACGUGUAAGGGACGCAGGAGACAGGUCUGCAAAAACCAGAGUUUAGACGGACGAUAAACGGAGUGUGAAAAUGAGUGGAACACCUUCGUCUGGGAAGGUCCUAAGGAAGUCAGCUCUUUGGAACUACGGCUCCUGCUUACCAUCUUAUUUUGGAAGGGAUUCUGAUCCUCUGGAUAAUCAGACUUCUUUUCUCUAAGACUUACAAAUUACAAGAACGAUCUGAUCUUACAGUCAAGGAAAAAGAAGAACUGAUUGAAGAGUGGCAACCAGAACCUCUUGUUCCUCCCGUCCCAAAAGACCAUCCUGCUCUCAACUACAACAUCGUUUCAGGGUAAAUACAAUAUUACAAAUGCAUCUUAAGAAAUUCCUUCACAUCCGUCACUUACUCUUGCCUCUCAUACGGAUAACCACUGUCUUGAAGUUGGUGAUUGUGUUUUCUUUGCCUGUAUUUAUAAUUUUACCAUAUAUGCCUGUUGCCAUAAAAAUACUCGGUUUAUUUUAAAAUGUGAUACGAGAUAUUUUCCUGAGUAUUAUUGUUCUGAUUCUGAUCUGAUCAAACAGGAGCUUCUAUUCUUUACUUCUGUAGAUCUCUUCAGUCUU